rnacentral:rRNA from 1 species
AGAGUUUGAUCCUGGCUCAGAUUGAACGCUGGCGGCAUGCCUUACACAUGCAAGUCGAACGGUAACAGGUCUUCGGACGCUGACGAGUGGCGAACGGGUGAGUAAUACAUCGGAACGUGCCCAGUCGUGGGGGAUAACUACUCGAAAGAGUAGCUAAUACCGCAUACGAUCUGAGGAUGAAAGCGGGGGACCUUCGGGCCUCGCGCGAUUGGAGCGGCCGAUGGCAGAUUAGGUAGUUGGUGGGAUAAAAGCUUACCAAGCCGACGAUCUGUAGCUGGUCUGAGAGGACGACCAGCCACACUGGGACUGAGACACGGCCCAGACUCCUACGGGAGGCAGCAGUGGGGAAUUUUGGACAAUGGGCGAAAGCCUGAUCCAGCAAUGCCGCGUGCAGGAUGAAGGCCUUCGGGUUGUAAACUGCUUUUGUACGGAACGAAAAAGCUCCUUCUAAUACAGGGGGCCCAUGACGGUACCGUAAGAAUAAGCACCGGCUAACUACGUGCCAGCAGCCGCGGUAAUACGUAGGGUGCGAGCGUUAAUCGGAAUUACUGGGCGUAAAGCGUGCGCAGGCGGUUAUGUAAGACAGAUGUGAAAUCCCCGGGCUCAACCUGGGAACUGCAUUUGUGACUGCAUGGCUAGAGUACGGUAGAGGGGGAUGGAAUUCCGCGUGUAGCAGUGAAAUGCGUAGAUAUGCGGAGGAACACCGAUGGCGAAGGCAAUCCCCUGGACCUGUACUGACGCUCAUGCACGAAAGCGUGGGGAGCAAACAGGGAUUAGAUACCCUGGUAGUCCACGCCUAAACGAUGUCACUGGAUUGUUGGGGAAUUAGUUUUUCCUCAGGUAACGGAAGC